rnacentral:rRNA from 1 species
UACAGAGGUCUCAAGCGUUGUUCGGAUUCAUUGGGCGUAAAGGGUGCGUAGGCGGCGCGGUAAGUCGGGUGUGAAAUCUCGGAGCUUAACUCCGAAACUGCAUUCGAUACUGCCGUGCUUGAGGACUGGAAGAGGAGACUGGAAUUUACGGUGUAGCGGUGAAAUGCGUAGAUAUCGUAAGGAAGACCAGUGGCGAAGGCGGGUCUCUGGACAGUUCCUGACGCUGAGGCACGAAGGUCAGGGGAGCAAACGGG